ACAUAAAGAUAGCACUAAGUCGCGUUCAACUCUUGUGACCCCAUGGACUGUGGCCCGCUCAUGGCUGCAUCACCAUCUGCAGUGAUUUUGGAGCCAAAUAAAGUCAGCCACUGUUUCCACUGUUUCUCCAUCUAUUUGCUGUGAAGUGAUGGGACCAGAUGCCAUGAUCUUAGUUUUCUGACUGUGAGCUUUAAAUUAGCUUUUUCACUCUCCUCUUUCACUUUCAUCAAGAGGCUCUUUAGUUCUUCACUUUCUGCCAUAUGGGUGGUGUCAUUUGUGUAUCUGAGGUUAUUGAUAUUUCUCUCAGCAAUCUUGAUUCCAGCUUGUGAAACAUUGUCUUUAUAUUGCAGGAAGAACUCUUGGUAUUUUUUUUUUUUUAUGACAGGUACAAUUCCACAACUUUAAUGACAUGACAUAUGGAAGGAGGAAAAAAAAAAACCACCUCAGUUUUUCAGCUCUUUGGAGAGAUCUGGGGCAAAGGAAUCAGAAUUCAACAAUAGGAUUUCCUCAGCUGAACUAAGGAUGGAGAACAGAUGGUAUGGAGUCAACUCCCUGGCUGACUGGUCUUUGAGGCAAACAAGGAAAAUGCCUUCUACAGCCAAAGGGCGAUGAGAACAUUCUUUGGUGGAUGGACUUCAGGCUCUGCACUGACAUUAACUUCUUUUGGGAUGUGGAAGCUUCCAGAUGAAGGUUGGUCAGCUAUACAGUGGACACAUCGCCUUGGUACCUUAGAGAACCCUCAAGCAGACCAGCUCAAGCACUUGAACAGAGCAUUCCUCUUCAGGGGAUGGAAACCAUGUAAGUUAGAUUCUAGCUCUAUUAGUGGAAAGAAGAAAUACAUGUCUAAGUGCUGAAAAGAAAAGUCAGCUUUUAGAAUACUGACCAUGACUUUUUUUAUUUCUGAAAAGAAUAUAGUUCACUCUAUAUUUACACUAUUAAGUUGACACAACGUAUUAAGAAUCUGACCAUCAUUUGUUUUCUGCUGCUGCUGCUAAGUCGCUUCUGUCGUGUCCGACUCUGUGCGACCCCAUGGAAGGCUGCCCGUGAGGCUCCCCUGUCCCUGGGAUUCUCCAGGCAAGAACACUGGAGUGGGUUGCCAUUUCCUUCUCCAAUGCAUGAAAGUGAAAAGUGAACGUGAAGUCGCUCAGUCGUGUCCGACUCAGCGACCCCAUGGACUGCGGCCCACCAAGCUGCUCUUCCCAUGGGAUUUUCCAGGCAAGAGUGCUGGAGUGGGGUGCCAAUAGUUUCUAAUUUCUCAAGAGGCAGUCGUGUUUGAAAUGAGAUUUGAGUAAUGAAGAAAAGUCCAGUGUUUGAACAUUAUUCGUAAAGUAAAGCCUUAAUGAAUUUUUCUUCCAAGAUUUUAAUAUAAGGCCCGAUCCUAUAUCUCUACAUGAGUUGAAUGCUUAUAUCUUUUUUUUUUUUUUUUUAAAUGGAGUUUUAGCUCGAAUAGAAACUCAGCAGGAGACAGCUGAACCAGAACUGAACAGAAGCGGCUUUUUCACCAACUGUUUGUUUUGUCCAGCAGAGGGCACCUGGAGCUCACACGUAAAUGGCAGCAGCAGCAGCAUUUAAAAUAUCUGUUUCAUUACCUUGGUGAUUCUUAAUUAACACAAAGCAUCAGGGUUUCAUUGACACCAAUAAAAUGAGGUGACUGCGACCUUGAUUAAUAAAAUGUGUAAUCAUCUUGGAAAUAUCGGGAGUUAGAAACUUAUUAGAUAUUUCUUCUUGGUGAUUACACUGGCCGGUAAUCAAUAAAAACAAAAUCUAAAUUGCAGAUUGCUCCAGUUCAAUCUCCAGGUUAAAAACUUUAUUUCUUCUUAAAAAUAAAAUUGAAUAUACAUUUGUGACAGCUUAAGGAUUAGAGAGUAAGAUUGUAUAGCAUCUUUUAUUACUAUGUCAGGAGUAUUGAAUUGUCUGAUACUUUUCAAUAUCAAAUAAACAAGUUUCAGGCACACUGGAAAGGAAUGUUAGAAUGUUAUUGAUAUGUUUCUAAAAUUCUGCUUUUUCAAUUUCAGGAUCCUGAUCAAGAAGCAUAAACGAGGAAAUUGAAAAUCCCACAUUGUUCUAUUUCCGAGUGAAAAGCUUUGAUUCACCACUAGAGGACACUAUUCACCCUCUCAUCUUUCUGAAGGCUUCAGCCCAGCAGGGCUCGUUUUCAAGUGAAAAUAACUGCAUUUACUAAGGCUUGUGAUUUGUUUAGAAAUAAAAAGCAGCACCCCCAUGAUUCUGAGCAGAUUUACCCCCGUAAAGCUCCUGUUGAUUGUGAUGCAAAGUCUUUAACUGCAUCAAAUGUAAACUGGAAAAAUUCAGCAAAUUAGGAUUGCCUGUGCAACUAUACAUAAAAUACACUUCAUCACAAAUUGUUUAGGUUUACAAAAUAGACAAAUUAAGUACAAAAUUAAGAAACUUUAUGCUUCUCCUUUCAUGUUUUAUAGAAACAUGUUAUAUUGAUCACUGUGGUACCCUAUCUUUGUGAUGUUGCACACCACAAAGCCAAGUAAUUCAUUGGUUUCUUUUCCUUAUUUUUCAGAAUUAUGAGUAUAUAUUUUUUUUUUUUCCUUAUUUUUCAGAAUUAUGAGUAUAUAAUUGAUCUCAUAAAGAUCCUGCUCAUUGCACUAAUUUUCUGGGGUUGGUCUAGUGUAUCCACAACUCUGAGGUUUUACAACUCUGGUUUAUCAGUAAUGUAUGUGGUAGAUGGUAUUGUUAUUUGAAAAUUUUACUCCACCUUCUUCCUGGGAGAAAAUACUUGCCCAUUCCAU
rnacentral:lncRNA from 1 species